rnacentral:rRNA from 1 species
CGCGUGCAGGAUGACGGCCCUAUGGGUUGUAAACUGCUUUUAUACGGGAAGAAACGCACCUACGUGUAGGUGUCUGACGGUACCGUAAGAAUAAGGACCGGCUAACUCCGUGCCAGCAGCCGCGGUAAUACGGAGGGUCCGAGCGUUAUCCGGAAUCAUUGGGUUUAAAGGGUCCGUAGGCGGGCCUGUAAGUCAGGGGUGAAAGUUUGUGGCUCAACCAUAAAAUUGCCUUUGAUACUGCAGGUCUUGAGUCAUGGUGGGGUUGCCGGAACAUGUGGUGUAGCGGUGAAAUGCAUAGAUAUCACAUAGAACACCGAUCGCGAAGGCAGGUGACCAACCAUGUACUGACGCUGAUGGACGAAAGCGUGGGUAGCGAACGGGAUUAGAUACCCCGGUAGUCCACGCCGUAAACGAUGGAUACUAGCUGUGGGGACUUCGGUCUCCGUGGCCAAGCGAAAGUGAUAAGUAUCCCACCUGGGGAGUACGUUCGCAAGAAUGAAACUCAAAGGAAUUGACGGGGGCCCGCACAAGCGGUGGAGCAUGUGGUUUAAUUCGAUGAUACGCGAGGAACCUUACCAGGGCUUAAAUGCAGGCUGCAUGGGGUGGAGACACCCCUUUCUUCGGACUGCCUGCAAGGUGCUGCAUGGUUGUCGUCAGCUCGUGCCGUGAGGUGUCAGGUUAAGUCCUAUAACGAGCGCAACCC